rnacentral:tRNA from 1 species
GCUAGCGUAGCUUAAAAUAAAGCAUGGCACUGAAGAUGCCAAGCUGGGUCCUGAAAAACCCCGCAUGCA